rnacentral:snRNA from 1 species
AGCUUGCCUUCGAGCGUGU